CCCUUAGAUGUCCGGGGCCGCACGCGCGCUACACUGAAGGAAUCAGCGUGGCUUUCUCCCUGACCCGAAAGGGUUGGGAAACCCGUUGAAUCUCCUUCGUGAUAGGGAUUGGGGCUUGAAAUUGUUCCCCAUGAACGAGGAAUUCCCAGUAAGCGCGAGUCAUAAGCUCGCGUUGAUUACGUCCCUGCCCUUUGUACAAACCGCCCGUCGCUACUACCGAUUGAACGGUUUAGUGAGGGCCUCGGAUUGGUCUCGGCCCGCUCUUUACCGGGCGGCGCCGUUGGUCGAGAAGACGCUCGAACUUGAUCGUUUAGAGGAAGUAAAAGUCGUAACA
rnacentral:rRNA from 1 species